CGUUCUGCCCUUCCAUGGUGUUCCUAGUAUCUCGUGGCUCAGUAUAACCGGAAGAAAAACUAUCUCCUCUUCCGUUGACACAAUUUCCUUUUAUCGAUAUCUCCGACGUAGUCAUUUCUUCAAGAAAAAAUCUUUUAGCUCAAAUCUCACAUCUGCUACACUCUCAAACUCCUCAAAUCUAUACUAAAAAAGCCCUAAUCUAAAAUCCCACUCAAAUCUACCAGCGGUUCAAACAUCAAUAACCAAAGCUUCCCUUUUUCCACAGAAAAUCAACUAUCUCUCCGAGACUUCAAAGAAAACCUAACGAAAUUAGAACACCAAACCUAUACUUCUCACAGUUUAUCAACAAUCUUCUCGAUUCACGCAUCCAAUCAAUCAAAAUCCACUUUUUUUUA
rnacentral:lncRNA from 1 species